AGUGAACGCUGGCGGUAGGCCUAACACAUGCAAGUCGAACGGCAGCACAGUAAGAGCUUGCUCUUACGGGUGGCGAGUGGCGGACGGGUGAGGAAUACAUCGGAAUCUACUUUUUCGUGGGGGAUAACGUAGGGAAACUUACGCUAAUACCGCAUACGACCUACGGGUGAAAGCAUGGGAUCUUCGGACCUUGCGCGAUUGAAUGAGCCGAUGUCGGAUUAGCUAGUUGGCGGGGUAAAGGCCCACCAAGGCGACGAUCCGUAGCUGGUCUGAGAGGAUGAUCAGCCACACUGGAACUGAGACACGGUCCAGACUCCUACGGGAGGCAGCAGUGGGGAAUAUUGGACAAUGGGCGCAAGCCUGAUCCAGCCAUACCGCGUGGGUGAAGAAGGCCUUCGGGUUGUAAAGCCCUUUUGUUGGGAAAGAAAAGCAGCAGGUUAAUACCCCGCUGUUCUGACGGUACCCAAUGAAUAAGCACCGGCUAACUUCGUG
rnacentral:rRNA from 1 species